rnacentral:rRNA from 1 species
AUACGUAGGGGGCGAGCGUUAUCCGGAAUUAUUGGGCGUAAAGAGUACGUAGGCGGUUCUGUAAGCGUGAGGUGAAAGCCCGGGGCUUAACUCCGGUAAGCCUUUCGAACUGCAGGACUUGAGUGCUGGAGGGGAAAGUGGAAUUCCUAGUGUAGCGGUGAAAUGCGUAGAGAUUAGGAGGAACACCAGUGGCGAAGGCGACUUUCUGGACAGUAACUGACGCUGAGGUACGAAAGCGUGGGGAGCAAACAGGAUUAGAUACCCUGGUAGUCCACGCUGUAAACGAUGAGCACUAGGUGUCGGGCUAGCAAUAGUUCGGUGCCGCAGUUAACGCAAUAAGUGCUCCGCCUGGGGAGUACGCACGCAAGUGUGAAACUCAAAUGAAUUGACGGGG